GAUAAGAAAUAGAUUUGGACUAGUAGCAAAUAGAUGUUUAUAGAGAGCUAAAGCAUGGCUGGAACUUUGGCAACCCCUGUAUUUGCGAACCUACCAAUGAUGAUUGAUUGCAAACAGUCAGGACUCGUCUUCCUUAUCGACGCUAAAGCUGGGUUAGACAUUCUCUAACCAAUAAAGGUGGUACCGCGAAUUCAAGCAUUCGUCCUUUUG
rnacentral:ncRNA from 1 species